rnacentral:lncRNA from 1 species
GGGCUCGCCCCGCCCACGCCCCGCGCGGCUGCCGGAAGGGAUUUUGCGCCCUUCCGCCAUGGCGUCACGUGACAUUCCCUUGGUAACGCAAGAUGGCGGCGCCCAUGUUGCUGCCCGAGUCCUCUCUGGGGAAGUUGAGCCAUCAAAAACACAGAGCUAUUCUGAAGAAAGAAAAGCGGAAAAAAAAGCGGCAGGCACUUGCCAAGCUAAGAGACUCAGAAGCUACAGAAAAAGAUGAAUCAGUGUCUGAGGAGGAAGAGGAGGAACUGGAAGAAGAUGAGGAAGAAGAAGAAGAAGAAAAAAAACUUGAGGCAGAAAGACAAAAACUACAUGAGCAGUGGUUGCUGAGGGAAGAAAAGGCGCAAGAAGAGUUCAAGCUUAAGAAAGAAAAAGAAGAGGCUGCAAGAAAACGUCAAGAAGAAGAGGAGGUGAUGUAUAAACAGUGUUACAGUUCAGUCUGGCAAUAAGAUAGACUUAGUGUAAUAUCUUGUACUGUUCUGUAGUGGAACCAGUUUUCUUGAUGUUGGUAUGUUUGAAUGUGUAAGCUCCUCUUUCUUUCAUUCUAGAAGAACAAAAUUAAAAAUUAAAAAAACCUCUUUUUAAAAGGCUUUUUGUCCAGAGAUUUUGUUGCUUAUGACUGAAUGAAAACUUAUUGGACAAGGGGUUUUCAUACAAUAUGAUAGGUUUGUAUUUGAUUUUAAAGCAUUUGUUUCCCUAAAUAAUGUUUUAAAAUAUUUUUUUAUCAUAAAGAGGAAGAUCAAAGAAGAAUGGGAAGAGCAGCAAAGAAAAGAGAGAGAAGUGGCACAGCAGAAACAACAGGAGAAGAGAGAGAGAGAGGUGAUUCCUGGCUGUGGGAGGAUAAACAUGUUACAUAUCCUCUUACAUUAUCAGAUGCUAUAUAUCAGUCUAUACAUGUUGAAGAGGGAUUUUAUUCUGAUUAGCAAAUGUAUAAAUGUGUUAGUCACUUCUUCUCUCCAUUCUGUCUGAAUUCCUGAAUCUGUUAUUCACUGUUAAAGAGGAUCUAGUGAAUUCAUAUACCUAGAAGGGUAACUAAUUUUAACACAUCAUAUUGUUCAUAGUAUGUAGUUUUUUUACACCAGUUAAAUACAAAGACAGGCUGUGAAUGCAGAUUCUGAUAUGUGCACAUCUUGCGUUAAAGAUAAUCCUUACUUAAUGUACCAGUUGAACACAGUCAGUGUUGAAGAAAAUGCCCAAUGAGGAUAUGGAAUAUGGAAUUACAUUGGUGCUGUUCGUUUACACAGUUCUUAAUCAAAAGAUGUAUUACAGCUCUUCUUUACCUGACUCUUCCAACAGGAC